AGUCGUACAGGUCUCCGUAGGUGAACCUGCGGAGGGAUCAUUACACAAAUAUGAAGGCGGGCUGGAACCUCUCGGGGUUACAGCCUUGCUGAAUUAUUCACCCUUGUCUUUUGCGUACUUCUUGUUUCCUUGGUGGGUUCGCCCACCACUAGGACAAACAUAAACCUUUUGUAAUUGCAAUCAGCGUCAGUAACAAAUUAAUAAUUACAACUUUCAACAACGGAUCUCUUGGUUCUGGCAUCGAUGAAGAACGCAGCGAAAUGCGAUAAGUAGUGUGAAUUGCAGAAUUCAGUGAAUCAUCGAAUCUUUGAACGCACAUUGCGCCCUCUGGUAUUCCAAAGGGCAUGCCUGUUCGAGCGUCAUUUAUACCCUCAAGCUUUGCUUGGUGUUGGGCGUCUUGUCUCUAGCUUUGCUGGAGACUCGCCUUAAAGUAAUUGGCAGCCGGCCUACUGGUUUCGGAGCGCAGCACAAGUCGCACUCUCUAUCAGCAAAGGUCUAGCAUCCAUUAAGCCUUUUUUUCAACUUUUGACCUCGGAUCAGGUAGGGAUACCCGCUGAACUUA
rnacentral:rRNA from 1 species